CAGGAUGGACCCGCGUCUGAUUAGCUAGUUGGUAAGGUAACGGCUUACCAAGGCGACGAUCAGUAGCCGACCUGAGAGGGUGAUCGGCCACAUUGGAACUGAGACACGGUCCAAACUCCUACGGGAGGCAGCAGUGGGGAAUAUUGCACAAUGGGCGAAAGCCUGAUGCAGCAACGCCGCGUGAGUGAUGAAGGCCUUCGGGUCGUAAAACUCUGUCCUCAAGGAAGAUAAUGACGGUACUUGAGGAGGAAGCCCCGGCUAACUACGUGCCAGCAGCCGCGGUAAUACGUAGGGGGCUAGCGUUAUCCGGAUUUACUGGGCGUAAAGGGUGCGUAGGCGGUCUUUCAAGUCAGGAGUGAAAGGCUACGGCUCAACCGUAGUAAGCUCUUGAAACUGGGAGACUUGAGUGCAGGAGAGGAGAGUGGAAUUCCUAGUGUAGCGGUGAAAUGCGUAGAUAUUAGGAGGAACACCAGUUGCGAAGGCGGCUCUCUGGACUGUAACUGACGCUGAGGCACGAAAGCGUGGGGAGCAAACAGGAUUAGAUACCCUGGUAGUCCACGCUGUAAACGAUGAGUACUAGGUGUCGGGGGUUACCCCCUUCGGUG
rnacentral:rRNA from 1 species